rnacentral:rRNA from 1 species
UACGUAGGGUGCAAGCGUUAAUCGGAAUUACUGGGCGUAAAGCGUGCGCAGGCGGUUUUGUAAGUCUGACGUAAAAUCCCCGGGCUUAACCUGGGAAUUGCGUUGGAGACUGCAAGGCUGGAGUCUGGCAGAGGGGGGUAGAAUUCCACGUGUAGCAGUGAAAUGCGUAGAGAUGUGGAGGAACACCGAUGGCGAAGGCAGCCCCCUGGGUCAAGACUGACGCUCAUGCACGAAAGCGUGGGGAGCAAACAGG